CACGUAGGGCGCAAGCGUUGUCCGGAAUUAUUGGGCGUAAAAGAGCUCGUAGGCGGUCUGUUGCGUCGGCUGUGAAAACCCGAGGCUCAACCUCGGGCCUGCAGCCGAUACGGGCAGACUAGAGUUCGGCAGGGGAGACUGGAAUUCCUGGUGUAGCGGUGAAAUGCGCAGAUAUCAGGAGGAACACCGGUGGCGAAGGCGGGUCUCUGGGCCGAUACUGACGCUGGAGGAGCGAAAGC
rnacentral:rRNA from 1 species